rnacentral:misc_RNA from 1 species
AAAAAAAAAAAAAAAAAAUUCAAUUUUCGUUGGCUACAUUUGUUAUGGUUCUUUAUUUUUAUACUGGUGCGAUUUUCACAUUGAUUAGGAGCAGAUGAGGUUACCUUGAAUGGAUGUUCAGUGAGAAUUAAUUUUAAUAUGGGCACGUACCAACCAUCAUAAGUACGUGUGAAAAAUCCUGUACCUUUCAUUCAAAACCAGAGUUUACGCGAAAACCUUUCUUCUGGCCGUCAAUAUUAGAAGAAUGAGAAUAGAGAAACAGAAGGAAGGACAGAAAAAGAAAAGGAAUUGGAUGUG